rnacentral:rRNA from 1 species
UGGGGAAUAUUGCACAAUGGGCGCAAGCCUGAUGCAGCCAUGCCGCGUGUGUGAAGAAGGCCUUCGGGUUGUAAAGCACUUUCAGCGAGGAGGAAGGUGGUGAGCUUAAUACGCUCAUCAAUUGACGUUACUCGCAGAAGAAGCACCGGCUAACUCCGUGCCAGCAGCCGCGGUAAUACGGAGGGUGCAGGCGUUAAUCGGAAUUACUGGGCGUAAAGCGCACGCAGGCGGUUUGUUAAGUCAGAUGUGAAAUCCCCGGGCUCAACCUGGGAACUGCAUUUGAAACUGGCAAGCUAGAGUCUCGUAGAGGGGGGUAGAAUUCCAGGUGUAGCGGUGAAAUGCGUAGAGAUCUGGAGGAAUACCGGUGGCGAAGGCGGCCCCCUGGACGAAGACUGACGCUCAGGUGCGAAAGCGUGAGGAGCAAACAGGAUUAGAUACCCUGGUAGUCCACGCUGUAAACGAUGUCGAUUUUGGAGGUUGUGCCCUUGAGGCGUGGCUUCCGGAGCUAACGCGUUAAAUCGACCGCCUGGGG